rnacentral:rRNA from 1 species
UACGAAGGGGGCUAGCGUUGCUCGGAAUUACUGGGCGUAAAGGGCGCGUAGGCGGCUAGUUUAGUCAGAGGUAAAAGCCCAGGGCUCAACCUUGGAACUGCCUUUGAUACUGGCUAUCUUGAGUUCGGGAGAGGUGAGUGGAAUGCCGAGUGUAGAGGUGAAAUUCGUAGAUAUCCGGAGGAACACCAGUGGCGAAGGCGACUUUCUGGCCUGUUCUUGACGCUGAGGCGCGAAAGCUAGGGGAGCAAACGGG